rnacentral:rRNA from 1 species
UACAGAGGUGGCAAGCGUUGUUCGGAAUUACUGGGCGUAAAGGGCGCGUAGGCGGCCAUCUAAGUCAGACGUGAAAUCCCCCGGCUUAACCUGGGAACUGCGUCUGAUACUGGACGGCUUGAGUAUGGGAGAGGGAUGUAGAAUUCCAGGUGUAGCGGUGAAAUGCGUAGAUAUCUGGAGGAAUACCGGUGGCGAAGGCGGCAUCCUGGACCAUUACUGACGCUGAUGCACGAAAGCUAGGGGAGCAAACAGG